rnacentral:rRNA from 1 species
UACGAAGGGGGCUAGCGUUGUUCGGAAUUACUGGGCGUAAAGCGCACGUAGGCGGAUAUUUAAGUCAGGGGUGAAAUCCCGGGGCUCAACCCCGGAACUGCCUUUGAUACUGGGUAUCUCGAGUCCGAGAGAGGUGAGUGGAAUUCCGAGUGUAGAGGUGAAAUUCGUAGAUAUUCGGAGGAACACCAGUGGCGAAGGCGGCUCACUGGCUCGGUACUGACGCUGAGACGCGAAAGCGUGGGGAGCAAACAGG